rnacentral:lncRNA from 1 species
UUAGUGCCUGGACCUCCCAGCACAGCUGAGCGUGUGUUCUUCUCCCCUCUCGCACAGGGCGAACCAGGCUAUGUCCUGGGAGGAGUGGAGGUGAUUCCUGGUCGGAACGGGCAACCUGGCCCUCCCGGACAGAAAGGGCAGCCGGGGGUUCCCGGGGUAGCGGGACCACCAGGUUUACCAGGGCCACGAGGACCACCAGGGAUGUCCACCAAGGUGAGCAAGGUUAUUUGCAGCCUGGUUCUGCACGGUGAAGCCACAGAGAGGGGGGCAUC